GGCCCUAUCGUCUAUCGGUUAGGACACGGCCUUUUCAAGGCUGGAAGCAGAGUUCGACUCUCUGUAGGGUCA
rnacentral:tRNA from 1 species